rnacentral:ncRNA from 1 species
UAAAAGUUUUAUUUUAGCUUAAAAAUUAAAUUUUAUUAUUUAUUAUAUGUAAAUUUUAUUUAAGAAUAGUUAGCAGUAAUUGAAUUUAAUUAUUAAAGAAAUUUAGAAUUAGAAAUUUUAAAUAAUAUUAACUUAAUUUGUGCCAGCAGUUGCGGUUAUACAAAUAAUAUGAUUUAAUUUUAUUAAUAUUAAUUAAAUAUUUAUUUAUAAUUAUAUAAUAAAAUUUAUUAGGUGAAAUUUUAAAUUUUUAUAGAAUUAUAUUUUUAAAUUGAAGUUAAAAAAUUUAAAUUUUAAACUAGGAUUAGAUACCCUAUUAUUUUAAAUGUAAAAUUUUUAUUUAAUUAUUAUUAGUUAUGGUCUUUAAAAUUAAAAAUUUUGGCGGUAUUUUAGUCUUUUUAGAGGAACCUGUUCUUUUAAUGAUAAUCCACGAUUUUAUUGACUUUUAUUAUUAGUUUGUAUAUCGUCGUAAUUAAAUAUUUUUUUAGAAUUAAAAUAUUUAAAAUUUUUAUAAAAAAAUUAAUCAGAUCAAGGUGCAGUUUAUAUAAAAGUAGAAAUGGGUUACAAUAAAAUUAUUUUUGGAUUUUAAAUAUUAAUAUUUAAAUGAAAUUGGAUUUAAAUGUAAUAUUAAUUAAUUAAUUAAUAUGAUUUUGGCUCUAAGAUAUGUACAUAUUGCCCGUCGCUUUCAUUUAAUAUGAAAUAAGUCGUAACAAAGUAGAUUUACUGGAAAGUGAAUCUAGAUUAUC